GACGAACGCUGGCGGCGUGCCUAAUACAUGCAAGUAGGACGCAGUUGCGAACGGGUGAGUAACGCGUAGGUAACUACCUAUUAGAGGGGGAUAACUAUUGGAAACGAUAGCUAAUACCGCCUACUAGUAGAUGGACCUGCGUUGUAUUAGCUAGUAGGUAGGGUAAUGGCCUACCUAGGUAACGAUUCAUAGCCGGCCUGAGAGGGUGGACGGGCCAAAUGGGACUGAGGAACGGGCCAGACUCCUACGGGAGGCAACAGUAGGGGAACUUCGGCAAUGGGGGGAAACCUGACCGAGCAACGCCGCGUGAGUGAAGAAGGUUUUCGGAUCGUAAAGCUCUGUUGUUAAGGAAGCGGUACUUAACCAAAAAGGGACGGCUAACUACGUGCCAGCAGCCGCGGUAAUAC
rnacentral:rRNA from 1 species